rnacentral:rRNA from 1 species
UAAUACGUAGGGGGCAAGCGUUGUCCGGAUUUAUUGGGCGUAAAGGGCUCGCAGGCGGCCUGGCCAAGUCGUGCGUGAAAUCUCUCGGCUUAACUGAGAGCGGUCGUGCGAUACUGGUCGGCUUGAGGCCGGUAGGGGGAAGCGGAAUUCCGGGUGUAGUGGUGGAAUGCGUAGAUAUCCGGAGGAACACCAGUGGCGAAGGCGGCUUCCUGGACCGGUCCUGACGCUCAGGAGCGAAAGCGUGGGUAGCAAACA